CCCAAAGAUGAGCUCCUAGCACAGCCUCGGCUGCACCUGGCACCUGUGGGCGGCCCGGCCCGAGUCACACCUGCCCUGGCUUCCACUGAGCAGCUGUGUGCCUGUUUCCACCUGCGAGAGACCUCACAGUGGAAAUGCCAAGGCAACGAAGAGGAUAAAGAGGCCUUGGGUUCACUCUGACAAGUGAAUCUGAGAAGUGCCAGGCGGGGAAAGCCAGAGGAGAGGCCGCCAGAAGUCGGUGUGUGUGUGGGGGGGGGUCCCGGUCCCCACCCCUGCCCAGAGCCUGGCAGGAAGUCAAGCCUGGGGACCCACAGCUGUCGGUCUGGCCUCCCCUGGAGCAAACCAACCCCCCCUGCAGUGCGAUUCAGAGCCCCGUGUCCAGUUAGACUCGGGGAGACUCGGGUAAGAUCCAGAGAGUGGAGCCUCACUUGCUCUCCACUCCCACGGGCACAGGGAGCCUUGUGCUUCUGUCAACCAUGUCAGCACAGGAAUUCUAAAGAUCGGGGGAAGAGAGAGACCACAAGCAGGGGGAGCAGCAGCAGGGGGAGAGGGAGAAGCAGGCUCCCCCUGGAGCAGAGAAUCCAACGUGGGGCUCGAUCCCAAGACCCUGGGAUCAUGACCUGAGCCAAAGGCGAGUGCCUAACCAACUGAGCCACCCAGAAGCCCCAAUUCCAGAUUCUCUUGAAGAAUGAUCUACCUAAUGGGAUUUGCUGUAACUACCAUUCUUGAUUCCUAAGGCCAAGGAAGGCUGCCUGGAAGGAAGAGAACUUUGCAUCAUCCCAAACCCAAGUUCCACAUCUGUUCAACAAGAAUGAGGCAGAAGAGCACCAUUACUGUGCACCUGAGAGACCCCAGCAAGGCCACAUAGGGCAAGGACUCUGUCUCGUUCGUGUGGUACAUCUAGCAGCUGGUGGUGUGCAAGGCACGUGUGAACUGUUCCGUAUACAUGUGCGGAACGAAUGAGGACAAAAGUCAUACUACUCAGUUCUUACCAAAAGCUCACAUGCUAAGAAAAAAAAUUUUUUUUUCACCUUUUGGGAAAGAACUGCCUUUGGGAAAAUAAUAAAUCACCUUGUCAUAGGAGCAAGAGACCUUGAAGGCAAGAAGAGGAGAUGGUUAAGCUGCCUCAGUGUGACCAAACGAGGGAUUGGUGAAUUUUUUUCUCCCGAUGGGGAGGUCGGAGGGCGGGUCCAGUAAGGGAGAAAAGAGAGCAGCCAGUGAGCCGUCGUGAGAAGCUCCUGGCCAACUUUGGGACCCACCUGCAGGGACGGUGCAGAACUCACACACCCAGGCUGGUACCGUCCUUACCCCCGGCUUCCUGUUCUUACUCUCAUUUUCAGCUUGUACUGUUGCCUCAUUCAUUUCUGAAGGUGCUACCCAUCGUUUUGCGGAAGGCAGUGGAAGGAAAAUAAAUUAAUAUACUCUCCAAAUUAUAUUACCUAGUUCCCACCCCAGCAUGCACCUGGCCCUGAGAGAGUGGAGAGCAGGAGAUAAGCUAUCUUCCUCCAGCGGCCAGAUGGCAGGCUGGGCCCAUCCCUCUCCAUGCCUCCCUACAAGUACCCGCUGCCAUUUCUAGCAAAAUUAUUCAGGGGUCAGUUUUUUGGAUCAAAAUCUUGCGCACGCGCUCUCUCUCUCUCUCUCUCUCUCUUACACGCACACACAAACACCCUGCGCCUAUUAAGUGAUCAGAAACUCACUGCCUCCCAGCCACGCAAUCUAGAGACAGAACUCCCUUAGCUCUUCUCAGGAGUAAUAUGCUUCUUAUUUCCUUUAGGGCAGUUUCCUUAUAAAUCGUCUUUAUAUGACAGAAAUACCCCCCCCCUUUACUUGUGUUACUCUAAUACAACGUUAUAUCUGGGAGGAAAAGAGCUUUAGUAAACGUGAAAUUGCAUGUGAAACGUCCCUGGGAUAAGUCAAGGCAAGUGAUAAUGGCACUAAAGAGCCCCUCGACCACGCUCUUCCUCAGCCACGCUGCUGCCCAGUUAGCCGCCGUUGCCAGGCUGAUGCCGGUCCUUCUAGAUUGUCGUCUGCGCUUUUGCAAAUCUACACACGUAUCCAUUACAAUCUACUUUUAUUAUGUGUGUCUCUGCGUUAAAUGCACGGUACGCUGUACAGUUACGCUGGCCUACAACUUGCUUUUUCUCACUUAGCCAUAUGUCUUAGAGCACAUUUCCUGCUCUGAGGGAAGAGCUAUGCUAACUUAUGCCAACAGCCUCUUGCAGCCGCUAGCUGCCGGCCUUCCAUCUUUACUCUUCGGUCACCUGCACUGCCAAAGACCUAAGCGGCAGGUCUCACAGGAAUUCAGAAAAUCUGAUCACACGAGGAGGACCACCUCAUAGGCUCCCGGGCUGGAAUAUGCUGCUGCACCUAUAAUGUGUCUCAGUCUCAAGUUCAUUGACUUUACAAUUUUUGACUGGCUGUCUACUGCCUACUGCUCCAGGCACUGGGGAUUCAUCCGUGGGCAAAAAGACAAUCUCUACCUUUCUCUGGUGCUUACAGAAGAUAAAAUACCAGGACACAGGGGUGCAAGAGCACCUGCCUCUGAGAUUCCCAAACAGACCAAGUUCAACCACUUGCCGCUGACAAAGUCCAAAGGCAGAGAGAUGAGUGGUGGUGAAAGAAGAAAGUUUAUUUCAGUGAGGCCAACACUGGGAAGACAGAGGAGUAGGGGUUCAAAGACCAUCUCCAAAAGGUUGAAAAUACUUCCAGCUUGCGAGGUGGAUGUGAUGGCUGGAGUUCCAGCUCUGUUGCAGGCCAUAUCGGUGGUGAAGAAAGGAAAAUCCUAGGCCUCUGACGCCCAUGAUGUCACCACACGUGUCUGGACUGCAGAUUCCUGAAUUUCUUUUAUACAAGAGAAUCAAUAAACCCUUACGUGUUUAAGCCACCGUAAGCAACCCUGAACUGAUAAAAGGGUGAACCCUUCUGAGGUACUUUUUUCAUGUGAGGACUUGAGUUAAGAGGCCAGAAGACAAUGUCUUUGAGACCUCUUUAACUUCAAGAGAUCCCAAAUCAUAUUCAGCUGUAAAAUUUAGGACAACCUUAGGUUUUGUUAGAAAUCACUGAACAAAAAAAAAAAAAAAAAAAAAAAAAAAAAAA